rnacentral:rRNA from 1 species
AUGGAUUACUGUCCACCUCGUGUGCAACUACACUUGCAUGCCCUUCCGGCCGGAAGACAACCACCAUCUGAUCCUCCCGAAUCCAACGGCAAGGAUAACUCCCCCUCUUUCUUGUGUUUCUUUCCGUCCACGGUCCACCCACGAGCCACGACCCACGAGACGCCCACUUAUCUUCCACCGGGAGGAAGUGGAUCCAUGGCGGCCUCUUCCAGAUCCACCGCCCUCCACCCUCUCCAUCCAUGGCGGCCGCCACCACACAAAGACAAAGGCUGGCAGCCACCGCAACCUCGCCAUCCAUGGCAUCUUCCCCUCCGCAUCCUGAAGCCGCCGCGUUACCAGCCGCCGCAACCUCUUCAUCCACGAACAUCUACCUCUCUACCGCCGCAUCGACCAUCUGCCGUCACGACGUUAGCCUCGUCUAGAGCGACCAGGUCCCUCGUGGGCGUGCAGAAGCUGGAUGGGCCGGACGCGAUGACUACGGGCGUGCUCAAGGUCCCGCUUCAGCCUCCACCUGAUGGAGUUUCGCCGCAUCGGACCGGCGGGAUCCUCGGCAGGCUGACCCCAGGAAGGAACAAGCUCGAUCAGUUCCAGAUCCUGAAGUACCCUCUGACCUCCGAGUCAACCAGGAACCCCAAGUACCCCAGGAUCAUCACCCCAGGAAGGAACAAGCUUGAUCAGUACCAGAUCUCGAAGUACCCUCUGACCUCCGAGUCAACCAGGAACCCCAAGUACCCCAGGAUUAGCAUCCCAGGAAGGAACAAGCUUGAUCAGUACUAG